CGGGCUCUGAGUCCUGUCUCCGGCAGAUCGCCUUUCUGAUUGUUCUCCUGCGCAGCUGGAGGUGUAUAGCCCCUAGCCGAGCUAUGGUGCCUCAGCAGAUGUGAGGAGAUCCAAAACAGAGCUCUCAGGCGCUCAACGUUCUGUGGACCUUGCUUCCUCCAGAGGUGGCUGGGGACAGGUGCACCGAUCCACCAUGAACCAGAUUCAGGGAAAGAAAAAACCCACUGUUAGUUCUGCUGUUUGUACAAGACUGCGUUUGAUGGACCGAAGGUAAGGAUCAACCCGUUUUCACUGUGUACUGGCAUGGGGCAGGGCGGCGGUGGCAGUGGUGGCGGUGGCAGCGGUGGCGGGGAUACCCUAUUAGAUGUAGUUAGUGUUUGUUCCUGUCAAGUGACUUUCAAGUUCCUGGGUGCAUUCUGAUCGUGUUUGGGAAGAUGAAGCCAUCCUUGACUUCUAAGUGCCUGGCCUUCCUCCUUGCUGAUAUGGCAGAGGUAUAAACUACUUUUUUUGAGUUUUUCUUCACUCCCCCAGUACCUAUGAGAAUCUACUGACUUCGUAUGUAAGAUUAUGUUCCAGCACUGUAGAUGGGUUUCAAAUUUGCCUACCCUGUUUUCUUAUUGUUACUGUUGUUGCUGUCGUCGUUGUUCUUAUUCCUCCCCCUCUUCUUCUUUACCCUCUUCUUUUUCUCCUUUUCUGGGUCACCUUGCAUCUUUGUGGCUGAGUUUCAUAAAAGACUCAUAAUAAUCCACUUCAUCUGUACAGUGCUUUACAGCUUACGGAGCACUUUUACAAAAAUUAUCCCAUACGAUUCUCCCACAUAAACCUCAGUUAGACGCUAGUGUGGGAAGCACCGUGGAUGAGUGGAAAAAGCCCAGACUGGGAAGACAGAUUGAUAAGAGAAAACUUCGGAGGUGUCCUACAUUUGAUUACAAAAGGCCAGGGGAUGUGAGAAAAGACAAAUGGUGUGGGAUGUUAUUCGGUAACAAGAUGUAGGCCCCAAAGAAUGAAAGGCCAUUUUUCUGUUCUUGAUUGUACAUCUAAAGCUUCGCUCAGAGCUGCUCUGACUGCCUAGGUACCAGCGAAUGCUCCUUGCAGCAUUAACCAAUCCAGAGGCCUUGGCUUCUUCUCUAGUUGCUCUCCCAUCACGAAGCCUUCAUUGCUUCAGGGACCAUGUGUGUGCCUGGUGUCCACCAGUCAGAAGAGGACUUGGAAUUUGACUUACAGAUGGUUGUGAGCCACCAUGUGGGUUCUGGGAAGUGAACCAAGGUCCUCUGCUAGAGCAGUGAGUGCUCUUAACCACUGAGCCAACUCUCCAGUCCAAGCAGAACUGUUUCUGUUUGUCCCUGCAGAAAUUAGGUAGGUUUUUAAUCUGACCAGUUUGCCUAAUCUGUACGGACUGGAACUGGAGGAGAGAAGGGGCUGCCAAUGAGCCGAAACUUAUUAAGUGGAAGGCGAUGGUCUAGACUAAGCACAUUUAAUUUUGUUUGGGUGUUGCAAGGCACAUGCUUUGCAGUGUUCAGCCAAACACUAAGAACAUGCAACCUACUGAGGCAGGGUGG
ensembl:lncRNA